AGUGUAGCCACAACCAGAUGGGAGUCUCUUCCUUCCUUCACUUCGAUGCCAACACCUCUGUUUUUCUCUACUUGGCUGCCGCCUAUGUUAUCCUCGACUGUGCUGCUGCCACCAUCCUUGUUGCUUGAAAUCCGAUGACCUGGCAAAGCUUGAACGAUGUUAAGAGCGUUGAGAUUUUCCUUGUUGAA